UGUGCAAACAGCCCCAUCCACAAAACUGGGAAUUCACUUGGAUUCCAUUGGCCAUGUAGGGGUAAAGCAGAUUUAUUUCAUCAGGGAAAUGGAUUUAAAUGGUUGUUUAAAUGUCUUACGUAAGCACCUGGCCGGCACGCAGGCAGACAGGAGGAGGAGACAGCAGGCUAAUGCCAGGACACUGGACACAGGCACAUGGUGGUAAGCUUGGUCCCUCCAAUGGUGCCGCCAUUUCUCAGAUCCUCUUCUUGGUCGGAGGGAGGGUGACUCUGGAAGUUCCCAAAGGAACAAAUGGGUCAGUCUGGUCCCAUAAGGGGCUGUUCCUGCCGGCAGCAGCUUCUUAGAGGGAGGGAGCAGGAGAGAAGCAGCCCAGGGCCAGGGAAACCCUGCAAGAAACAUAGAACACAGCUUUCCUCUCCAGAAUCUGUACACUUUCUUCCUCAAUGGGAGAGGAUUUGCUUUGUAGGCAGAAGGUCCCGGUUUCAACCCCUGGUCUCUCUAGGUCAGGGGUCAGGAAACUAUUUCAGCAGGGGGCCAGUCCACUGUCCCUCAGACCUUGCGGGGGGCCCGACUAUAUUUUGAAAAAAAAUAAUGAACAAAUUCCGAUGCCCCACAAAUAACCCAGAGAUGCAUUUUAAAUAAAUGCACACAUUCUACUCAUGUAAAAACACCAGGCAGGCCCCACAAAUAACCCAGAGAUGCAUUUUAAAUAAGAGGACACUGUGGUGUUUGCCUCCUAGGUGUGUGACAUCAUACUGGGUUCAUAAGGAAAGGGUUAACUAAUUGUAAAAUGACUAACCAAUAGGAACCCAAGGGGAGUAGUUAGAAUUAGAGUUAGAGUUGUUAAUAAGUCAGUCUGGAGUUAGAGAAGAGAUGGAGAGGAUAAGUCUGUGGGAUGGGCUAGUUUGAUGUGGGAGACUGAGAGAAUCUGUUAAGAGGAGUCAUUCAAACAGUUGAUAUAAUCAGUCAGAAGGUAUUAGGAAGGUAUAGGCCAGUAAAGAAACUAAAGUUAAGAAACUGACAAGAAUAUUAUCUGAGAAACCAUAAACUUGUUAAUACUUAUAAAAUAAACUUCUUUAUUUGGUUCAAUUUUAACAACUGUCUAGACUCAGUGUUUUACCCGAGAGUAACGGGUUGGUGGCAGCGGGGAAGGGAGCACAGUGGUGGCACAGGGAUCAACAGACCGUCAAACAUCCGGGGACCCUGUGUGAUCGCCACAGACACAUUCUACUCAUGUAAAAACACGCUGAUUCCCGGACCGUCCGCAGGCCAGAUUUAGAAGGUGAUUGGGCCGCAUCUGGCCCCUGGGCCUUAGUUUGCCUACCCAUGGUCUAGGUAGAUCAAGGAGGGAAUCCUGCCUUAAAUCCUUGGCAGCCGCUGCCACGGGGUAGACAAACUUAGUUACAGGGUCCAAUUCUGGCACAUUAUAAUGCUGACUCCUAUGUUUGACCUUUUAGGGAAGGACCACAGCUCAGAGGCAGAGCUCCUGCCAGUGGCACACCUACAUUUUUGGGUCCCUGAACAUCGAACUGUUAUGGGGACCCCUUUCCAACCAGCAAUGAGGUCUGGG
rnacentral:lncRNA from 1 species